UGUUUGAUUCCCUGCUCAGGACGAACGCUGGCGGCGUGCUUAACACAUGCAAGUCGAACGGUGAACCUUGGAGCUUGCUUCGAGGGGAUCAGUGGCGAACGGGUGAGUAACACGUGAGUAACCUGCCCCGGACUCUGGAAUAAGCGCUGGAAACGGCGUCUAAUACCGGAUACGAGACGCAACCGCAUGGUUAGUGUCUGGAAAGUUUUUCGGUCUGGGAUGGACUCGCGGCCUAUCAGCUUGUUGGUGAGGUAAUGGCUCACCAAGGCGACGACGGGUAGCCGGCCUGAGAGGGCGACCGGCCACACUGGGACUGAGACACGGCCCAGACUCCUACGGGAGGCAGCAGUGGGGAAUAUUGCACAAUGGGCGAAAGCCUGAUGCAGCGACGCCGCGUGAGGGAUGACGGCCUUCGGGUUGUAAACCUCUUUCAGCAGGGAAGAAGCGAAAGUGACGGUACCUGCAGAAGAAGCACCGGCUAACUACGUGCCAGCAGCCGCGGUAAUACGUAGGGUGCGAGCGUUGUCCGGAAUUAUUGGGCGUAAAGAGCUUGUAGGCGGUUUGUCGCGUCUGCUGUGAAAAUCCGGGGCUCAACCCCGGACUUGCAGUGGGUACGGGCAGACUAGAGUGUGGUAGGGGAGACUGGAAUUCCUGGUGUAGCGGUGAAAUGCGCAGAUAUCAGGAGGAACACCGAUGGCGAAGGCAGGUCUCUGGGCCACUACUGACGCUGAGAAGCGAAAGCAUGGGGAGCGAACAGGAUUAGAUACCCUGGUAGUCCAUGCCGUAAACGUUGGGCGCUAGGUGUGGGACUCAUUCCACGAGUUCCGUGCCGCAGCUAACGCAUUAAGCGCCCCGCCUGG
rnacentral:rRNA from 1 species